UGGCUCAGAUGGUAAAGCAUCUGCCUAUAAUGCAGGAGACCCUGGUUCGAUCCCUGG
rnacentral:tRNA from 1 species